UCAAACUUGGUCAUUUAGAGGAAGUAAAAGUCGUAACAAGGUUUCCGUAGGUGAACCUGCGGAAGGAUCAUUCAUAAUAGAGUGUUUUAUGGCACUCUAAAAAAAAUCCAUAUCCACCUUGUGUGCAAUGUUAUUCUUCACAGGUUGAGAAAUUCAAAUUCUGUGAGGUUUUUUCAUAUCAACUCAUUUUUUUUUAAACUAAAUUGUCUGAAAAACGUUAUGAAUUUACUUAAUUCAAAACACAACUUUCAACAACGGAUCUCUUGGCUCUCGCAUCGAUGAAGAACGCAGC
rnacentral:misc_RNA from 1 species